rnacentral:rRNA from 1 species
GUCUUCGGAUGCUGACGAGUGGCGAACGGGUGAGUAAUACAUCGGAACGUGCCUAGUAGUGGGGGAUAACUACUCGAAAGAGUAGCUAAUACCGCAUGAGAUCUACGGAUGAAAGCAGGGGACCUUCGGGCCUUGUGCUACUAGAGCGGCUGAUGGCAGAUUAGGUAGUUGGUGGGGUAAAGGCUUACCAAGCCUGCGAUCUGUAGCUGGUCUGAGAGGACGACCAGCCACACUGGGACUGAGACACGGCCCAGACUCCUACGGGAGGCAGCAGUGGGGAAUUUUGGACAAUGGGCGAAAGCCUGAUCCAGCAAUGCCGCGUGCAGGAUGAAGGCCCUCGGGUUGUAAACUGCUUUUGUACGGAACGAAAAGCCUGGGGCUAAUACCCCCGGGUCAUGACGGUACCGUAAGAAUAAGCACCGGCUAACUACGUGCCAGCAGCCCGCGGUAAUACGUAGGGUGCAAGCGUUAAUCGGAAUUACUGGGCGUAAAGCGUGCGCAGGCGGAUUCGUAAGACAGUGGUGAAAUCCCCGGGCUCAACCUGGGAACUGCCAUUGUGACUGCAAGGCUAGAGUGCGGCAG